AGGAUUAAAAUGUAACGACCACGAAGGGACUCGAACCCUCAAUCUUCUGAUCCGGAAUCAGACGCCUUAUCCAUUAGGCCACGCGG